rnacentral:rRNA from 1 species
AGACCCGAAACCCGGUGAUCUAGCCAUGGGCAGGUUGAAGGUUGGGUAACACUAACUGGAGGACCGAACCGACUAAUGUUGAAAAAUUAGCGGAUGACCUGUGGCUGGGGGUGAAAGGCCAAUCAAACCGGGAGAUAGCUGGUUCUCCCCGAAAGCUAUUUAGGUAGCGCCUCGUGAAUUCAUCUCCGGGGGUAGAGCACUGUUUCGGCUAGGGGGCCAUCCCGGCUUACCAACCCGAUGCAAACUGCGAAUACCGGAGAAUGUUAUCACGGGAGACACACGGCGGGUGCUAACGUCCGUCGUGAAGAGGGAAACAACCCAGACCGCCAGCUAAGGUCCCAAAGUCAUGGUUAAGUGGGAAACGAUGUGGGAAGGCCCAGACAGCCAGGAUGUUGGCUUAGAAGCAGCCAUCAUUUAAAGAAAGCGUAAUAGCUCACUGGUCGAGUCGGCCUGCGCGGAAGAUGUAACGGGGCUAAACCAUGCACCGAAGCUGCGGCAGCGAACGUAUCACUUAAAGCGAUUCAGCGGGUUACGAUUGACGGAGCGAAGCGACGUCAAAGCGUAUACAAAGUCGAGUCGGUUUAAGGAUACGUUCGUUGGGUAGGGGAGCGUUCUGUAAGCCUGUGAAGGUGUGUCGUGAGGCAUGCUGGAGGUAUCAGAAGUGCGAAUGCUGACAUAAGUAACGAUAAAGCGGGUGAAAAGCCCGCUCGCCGGAAGACCAAGGGUUCCUGUCCAACGUUAAUCGGGGCAGGGUGAGUCGACCCCUAAGGCGAGGCCGAAAGGCGUAGUCGAUGGGAAACGGGUUAAUAUUCCCGUACUUGGUGUUACUGCGAAGGGGGGACGGAGAAGGCUAUGUUGGCCGGGCGACGGUUGUCCCGGUUUAAGCGUGUAGGUGUGUGUUCCAGGUAAAUCCGGUUCACUUUAACACUGAGGCGUGAUGACGAGGCACUACGGUGCUGAAGCAACAAAUGCCCUGCUUCCAGGAAAAGCCUCUAAGCAUCAGGUAACAUCAAAUCGUACCCCAAACCGACACAGGUGGUCAGGUAGAGAAUACCAAGGCGCUUGAGAGAACUCGGGUGAAGGAACUAGGCAAAAUGGUGCCGUAACUUCGGGAGAAGGCACGCUGACACGUAGGUGAAGUGAUUUACUCAUGGAGCUGAAGUCAGUCGAAGAUACCAGCUGGCUGCAACUGUUUAUUAAAAACACAGCACUGUGCAAACACGAAAGUGGACGUAUACGGUGUGACGCCUGCCCGGUGCCGGAAGGUUAAUUGAUGGGGUCAGCGCAAGCGAAGCUCCUGAUCGAAGCCCCGGUAAACGGCGGCCGUAACUAUAACGGUCCUAAGGUAGCGAAAUUCCUUGUCGGGUAAGUUCCGACCUGCACGAAUGGCGUAAUGAUGGCCAGGCUGUCUCCACCCGAGACUCAGUGAAAUUGAACUCGCUGUGAAGAUGCAGUGUACCCGCGGCAAGACGGAAAGACCCCGUGAACCUUUACUAUAGCUUGACACUGAACAUUGAGCCUUGAUGUGUAGGAUAGGUGGGAGGCUUUGAAGCGUGGACGCCAGUCUGCGUGGAGCCGACCUUGAAAUACCACCCUUUAAUGUUUGAUGUUCUAACGUGGACCCGUGAUCCGGGUUGCGGACAGUGUCUGGUGGGUAGUUUGACUGGGGCGGUCUCCUCCUAAAGAGUAACGGAGGAGCACGAAGGUUGGCUAAUCCUGGUCGGACAUCAGGAGGUUAGUGCAAUGGCAUAAGCCAGCUUGACUGCGAGCGUGACGGCGCGAGCAGGUGCGAAAGCAGGUCAUAGUGAUCCGGUGGUUCUGAAUGGAAGGGCCAUCGCUCAACGGAUAAAAGGUACUCCGGGGAUAACAGGCUGAUACCGCCCAAGAGUUCAUAUCGACGGCGGUGUUUGGCACCUCGAUGUCGGCUCAUCACAUCCUGGGGCUGAAGUAGGUCCCAAGGGUAUGGCUGUUCGCCAUUUAAAGUGGUACGCGAGCUGGGUUUAGAACGUCGUGAGACAGUUCGGUCCCUAUCUGCCGUGGGCGCUGGAGAACUGAGGGGGGCUGCUCCUAGUACGAGAGGACCGGAGUGGACGCAUCACUGGUGUUCGGGUUGUCAUGCCAAUGGCACUGCCCGGUAGCUAAAUGCGGAAGAGAUAAGUGCUGAAAGCAUCUAAGCACGAAACUUGCCCCGAG